CGGUUAUACCAAGUGAUUAAGUUAUACUUACAGGUAAAAAGACAGUUAGGUUUAUAAGUAAUUUGUUUAUUAAAUAUCUAUAAAAAAGUAAAAUUUGUAUAUAGAUAACUAAUCUAGAAAUGGCUAUUAUAACACUGAAGCUGUGAUAGUCUUGAGGGAAACUGGGAUUAGAUACCCCAUUAUUCUUGACUGUAAAUGUAAUUAAAUUUACCAGAGUACUAUGAAUAGUUAAAAAUUUAAAACUCAAAGGGCUUGGCGGUGUUUUAGACCAAUCAGGGGAACCUGUCUCGUAAUCGACAAUCCACGUUAUAUCUAACCUCAUUUUGUAUUCAGUUUGUAUACCGUCGUCGUCAGGUAACUUUUAAAAAUAUAGAAGUUAGCAAUAAAAAUUUUUGUAAAUUAAGACGUCAGAUCAAGGUGCAGCCUAUAAUGAGGAGAGGAUGGGUUACAAUUAUAAAAUUCAUAAUUACGGAAAUUUAAAUGAAAUCAUAUUUAAGAAGGAGGACUUGAAAGUAAACUAAUAUACAUAAAUAGUUUGAAUAAGGCUCUG
rnacentral:rRNA from 1 species